GCCCCCAUCGUCUAGCGGUCUAGGACACCGCCCUUUCAAGGCGGCGGCACGGGUUCGAAUCCCGUUGGGGGCACCG
rnacentral:tRNA from 2 species